rnacentral:tRNA from 1 species
AAGCCUAUAGUUCAAUUGGUAGAACGCUCUACUAUUACUGAAGUAGAUAUGAGGGUUCGAAUCCCUUUAGGCUUA